UGCAAUGCUAGUCCAGGCNGGAUCCCAGUUUU
rnacentral:rRNA from 1 species